ensembl:lncRNA
AUUUUGUCUUCUAUUAAUAUACUUCAUUUUGCAGCACGGGGAGGGGUGGAAUAAAUGGCACAGUGUAAUUGGGAGGUCCGUUUUUUAGAAACUUGAAUGGGACAGGCAGUUGUACAAGAAAAUGUACCAGAGGAAGAUUCUAUUUUUCCAGUAAAAAUGAGCUGGCAGAAAAUUUUACAGCACUGUACGUUGCUUUAGGAUCAUUCUCAAUAGGGCCAAGAGCAUUCAUUGUGUUGCUCAAUAGUUCUUAGUACUUCGGUAAAUUAUGCUACAGAAAAACAAAAGCAGAGUCUUUGCAGCCACAAAUUCUAUAAAGGCAUGGCUUUAACUGGCGUGGCUGCUUAGGCGUGCUCAAGUUAGCUCUAAACAUUUAUCUCCUCUGGUGCGGUAGGCAACCUCUAAGAUAAAGUCACUCCCUUGUGUAAUCUCUCCCUUUUGAGUGUGGACUGGACUUACUGAUUUGCUUCCAAUAAACUGAAUGCCACAGAAGUAAUGGGUUGUUAUUUCUAAGAUCAGAUGACAAAAAGACUAGGCUUGCCAAGGCUUGGUAGCAACCAAGAUGUCCUUUGAUAGAUGAACAGGUAAAUAAACCGUGGUACCUCCAGAUAAUGGAAUAUUAUUUAGAGCUAAAAAGAAGUGAGCUAUCAAGUAAUGAAAAGACAUGGAGGAAACUUAAAUGCAUAUUUCUUAAUGAUAGGAACCAAUAAAAGUUAACCUGCUGUCUAUGAUAUCCUGGAAAAGGAAAAAAACAAUAGAGACAGUAAAUGAUCUGUGGUUUCCAUGGGUUAAGGAGAGGGAGGGAUGAACAGGGAGAGCCCAGAGGAUUUUUAAGGCAGUGAAACUGUUCUGUGCAGUUCAGUAAUGGAGGAUACCUGUCAGUAUACAUUUGUCAAAACCAAUAAAAUGUAUAUCACCAAGACUGAACCCUAAUGUAAAAUAUGGACUUUGGGUGAUAAGGGUGUGUUAAUGUAGGCUCAUCAGUUGUAAGAAAUAUACCACUCUGGUGGGAGAUGUCAAUGGUGUGGGCGGUUGUACAUGUAUAGGGGAAGAGGGUGUAUAAGAAACUCUGUACUUUGUGCUUAAUUUUGCUGUGAACCCAAAACUGUUCUAAAAGAUAAAGUCUGGUGUGUUUUUUGGUUUGUUUGUUUUUUAAAGAAACACCAUGACUUCAGUUUAGAUGCCUUUAUUUGCUCACUCUGAGGGAGGCCAGCUGCUGAGCUGGGAGUAGCUUUAUGGAGAGAGGCCCACAUGGCAAGGAACUGAUAUCUCCAGCCAAUAACCAGUAAUGACCAGAGGUCUGCCAGUGGCCACAGCAGUGGGCUCAGAGUGGGUCCUCCCCAAAUGGGCCUUGAGCUGACUGCCGCCAAUCGAGACCUUGAUCACAGCCUUGCGUAGGAUGUUUUGAGAGGCUCUGAGUUGGAGGUACCCAAUUAAACUAUGUCCAGAUUUCUGACUCAUAGAAACUGAAGUAAUCAAUAAAUAUUUGUGAAUUUUAACUGUUUAGGUUUUGUAGUAAUACGUUGGGUAGCAACAGAUAACCAAUAUAUUUAAAAGGAAUGAAAUCAGAGUAUGUUGUCUGAUAGUAAGACAUUCAGCUCAAAAUCAUCGACAAAAAGAUUACUAGGAAAUUCCCUUAUAUUUGGUAUUGAAAAAUAUACCUGUAAAGAACUCAUGUAUCAAGAAAGAAAAGAUCAUAGAAACUAAAAAGCAUGUUAAUCUGGAAAAUCUCAGUUUUCUAGGAGUAAAAAAGAGAGGUUUUUAGAAGGAAGAGAGGAUUGUGGAUUAUAAUGAGUCAUGAAGUAGUCUAAGCAAGACAGAGAAGACGACAGAAAGAAGCUCUGCGUGUCAAGAGAGAGAUACAAGUGAUGUGUUAGAGGUCACGUGACAGGAAAGGAUUCUGCAAUGGUAUGACAAUGGAAGGCAAUCGCCAAAGCUGACUGGACAAAAACGUCACUGGAAGUGAAGGCAUUAAGCAGCUAGGCUGGGGGUGCUGGAGUCUCCAAGCAGAAUGAAAGGAGAUGAAGUGAAGAGUCGCACAUCGGAACAUAAGCCAUGUGAUGGACGAGAGGUUGUGAACAGGGAGGAGGAAGAUUGAAACAGUGAGAUGCGACAGUGUAUAGUUAAUAAAUUGGAGAUGAGGUGUUGUGGCAAGAAAUACAACUUUAUUCAGAAAGCCAGAAGACUAAGAAGAUGGCAGACUAAUAUCUCAAAAUCAUCUUAUCGGGGUCUGGAUGCCAGAUUCUUAUAUAGAAGAAAGAGAGAGAGGAGGUGUCCCAUCUGCUGUGAAAUUCUUGGUCCCCUUGGAACUGGCAGGCUAGAAGGAGGGGAUACACAAAUGAGUACGACCUGGCUUUUCUGGAUACGGCCUGGGAUGUGGGAUAUUUAACCCAUAUGUGUUUUCAUCUGCACCUGAUCAAGGCCACCAAGGCAGAAUGGACUUUAAAAGUUAAGGGAGAAACAGUCUUGGAUCACGUGGUGUUCUGGUUUGGCCGUGCUGACCGGCAGGUGAAGACAUGCCGAUCCCCUUUCUCCCUCUGGGAUCUGGCAGGUAAGGCUCUUCUCACCCCAAUUAGGAAGGAGGUGGAAUGGCAAUUUAAAUGUCAUUGAUUGGAAAUAUCAAAAGUACAUAGGGUACUGAGAACUUUGUAGGCAGAAAGAAAAGGAAAAGUAGAAGAAGAUCUGAGAAGGUAAGCGAGAUGGGGGGAAGUGAAUCUAAGGCAACUGUAUUGCAGUGCAUGAUUAAAAAUUUAAAGAAGGGGUAGAGGAGACUAUGGGUAAAGGUGACGCUAACCGCCUCCACAUACUCUGUGAGGCCGAAUGGCCCCCUCUGGGAGUAGGAUGGCCACCAGAGAGCACCAUGAACUUAAAACUAGUGGAAGCAGUCUAUACAGUAGUCACAGGAGAGCCAGGACACCCGGAUCAAUAUCCAUACAUUGACUCACGGCUAGGGUUCGCUCAAGACCCUCCUACUUGGACAAGGUUCUGUGUCCAGAAGGGAAAGGGAAAAAUAUUAGUGGCACGAAGAUUGACUGAUGAUAAAAAAGGAAAUUCCGAAGGAUUUGGAAAGGGAUGACCUGACCCCUCCCCAAUACUGGAUAAUGAUGCGCCUGCCUCCAAGUGCUCCACAAGGACCGGAGGCCGCCUUAAUGCCUAAUGCGGGGCCAGGUGAAGUCCUGCAGGAGCCACUGAUCCUCCGGAAGCUCUCCCGGAGAUCAGAGACCCGCUGUUUCAGCAGGCUCCAAUCCCAGCGAUGGAGACCUCUGGUCAACGCCUCCAGGAUUCCACCUCAGCUAGAUCUCCUAGAUUGUAUCCAUUCUCCUGGUGAGUACUGACAGGAAGGGGGAAGAAAACAUAGGAAUUAGAUAGAGGCUGUGCUCCGCCAAGGAACAGCAUAAAAGAACCCCACUACAGAUGCCCCUCAGAGAGCUACAACAGCCUCCGGUUCAGGACGCAUGUGGGCACUACCAUCAGCCCCCUGUAGCUUAUUAUUA